GGCAGAAAGUACAAAACUUUUCUUAUGGUUAUGGAGCAUGACUGCAAAUAAACAUCAUAUUUUUUCAGUUUCACUUCAGUCAAUAGCACUUGAUCUAACGCUUGACAUGGCUAAAGAGAAGAUUUAUUGGCGAGUUUCAAACGGAAAUAUUUUAUCUUAUGUUUACUACUCACAAAAUGUAAUUGAUUUUGGAACUUCAGGAGGUCCCAUGGCAGUAUUUGGGGAUUUCAUUUAUAUCAUGAGUGUUGGACGAAGUUUCGUUAGUGUCCAUAACACAACAGAUCAACGUACGAGACGUAAAUAUUUUCUUCCUGUAAACAACGGUUAUCUUGAUUUGGCUGUAGCAAUACACAGUAUCACUCCUGACUCAAACGCGACAAGCACUUUUCACUUUCCUUUGUGUGGACCCAACACAUACUAUCGUAAAAUUAAUGGAUCAUUGAACUGCACGUGUAUGGAAGGAUACUCAGGAGAAUGUAACUCGUGCCAAGCAAGCUGUCCUUCUGAUUGGUUGCAUAUAGAAUCAUCUUGUUAUUUCUUCAGUGCAAAA